AUGAUUACACUUGUCCCCAGAGCCAGGACAUGUGCAGCAUCAUAAUUCUCAUCCCUGCCCCUUUUCACAGGCACUGCUUACAGAGAGCAUCAUGACAUAUUGCUUGACAAAGAACCUAAGUGAUGUUAACAAGUCCAAAGUAGGCUUGCUGACAAACUAUUUGAGGCUAUACCUAGGUGAAGUGACUCCUCUGACUAGACCCAGUAUGCAAAUGAGGUUAUGCUGUAUCACUGGUUCAGCAUCGAGGCCCAGAUCACAGAAGUAA
rnacentral:lncRNA from 1 species